CUGGCGGCGUGCUUACACAUGCAAGUCGAACGGGGAAAAUUGAGCUUGCUUAAUUUUCCUAGUGGCGGACGGGUGAGUAACACGUGGGUAACCUGCCCUAUGAUGGGGGAUAACAGAAAGAAAUUUCUGCUAAUACCGCAUAAAACCUUUGGGUCGCAUGACCUAACGGUCAAAGAUUAAUUGUCAUAGGAUGGGCCCGCGGCGCAUUAGCUAGUUGGUGAGGUAACGGCUCACCAAGGCGACGAUGCGUAGCCGACCUGAGAGGGUGAACGGCCACAUUGGGACUGAGACACGGCCCAGACUCCUACGGGAGGCAGCAGUGGGGAAUAUUGCACAAUGGGGGAAACCCUGAUGCAGCAACGCCGCGUGAGCGAUGAAGGCCUUCGGGUUGUAAAGCUCUGUCUUCAGGGACGAUAAUGACGGUACCUGAGGAGGAAGCCACGGCUAACUACGUGCCAGCAGCCGCGGUAAUACGUAGGUGGCAAGCGUUGUCCGGAAUUAUUGGGCGUAAAGGAUGCGUAGGCGGUCCUUUAAGUGGGGAUGUGAAAUCCCUGGGGCUUAACCCAGGAAUAGCAUUCCAAACUGGAGGACUAGAGUGCAGGAA
rnacentral:rRNA from 1 species